CUCUGAUUUUGUGGAAGAGGCUAAAAAUCUCGGGAGAGCUUGUGUUGUCAUCAGCUUCGUCACUUGUUUAUACGAGAUGGGAGUUAAAUAACGUCACGAAAUCC